GCCAGCGUAGCUCAGCUGGUAGAGCUACUGAUUUGUAAUCAGUGGGUCGGGGGUUCAAGUCCCUCCGCUGGCUCCA
rnacentral:tRNA from 1 species